UGGCGGCGUGCCUAACACAUGCAAGUCAACGGGGAUUUGUUUCGGCAGAAUCCUAGUGGCGAACGGGUGAGUAACGCGUAGGCAACCUGCCCUCCGGCCGGGGACAACACUCCAAAGGGGUGCUAAUACCGGAUACGAAGUCUGUGCCGCAUGGUACGGAUUUGAAAGAUGGCCUCUAUUUAUAAGCUAUCGCCGGGGGAUGGGCCUGCGUCCGAUUAGCUGGUUGGUGGGGUAACGGCCUACCAAGGCGACGAUCGGUAGCCGGUCUGAGAGGAUGAACGGCCACAUUGGGACUGAGACACGGCCCAGACUCCUACGGGAGGCAGCAGUGGGGAAUCUUCCGCAAUGGGCGCAAGCCUGACGGAGCAACGCCGCGUGAGUGAGGAAGUUCUUCGGAACGUAAAGCUCUGUUGUUCCUGACGAACCUCCCCUUUAUCAACAACGGAGGGGACUGACGGUAGGGAACGAGGAAGCCACGGCUAACUACGUGCCAGCAGCCGC
rnacentral:rRNA from 1 species